GGACUACUGGGGUAUCUAAUCCCGUUCGCUCCCCUGGCUUUCGCGCCUCAGCGUCAGAAGAGGUCCAGCGCGCCGCUUUCGCCACCGGUGUUCCUUCCGAUAUCUACGCAUUUCACCGCUCCACCGGAAGUUCCGCACGCCCCUACCUCCCUCCAGACCAGCAGUAUCAAAGGCACUUCCACGGUUAAGCCGUGGGCUUUCACCCCUGACUGGCUGGCCCGCCUACGCGCCCUUUAAGCCCAGUGAUUCCGAACAACGUUUGCACGGUUCGUCUUACCGCGGCGGCUGGCAC
rnacentral:rRNA from 1 species